GACGAACGCUGGCGGCGUGCCUAACACAUGCAAGUCGAACGAUGAACCCGGAGCUUGCUCCGGUGGAUUAGUGGCGAACGGGUGAGUAACACGUGAGUAACCUGCCCUUGAAUAUGGGAUAACUGCGGGAAACUGUAGCUACUACCGGAUACGACCCUCGGCGGCAUCGCCAGGGGGUGGAAAGAAUUUCGGUCAAGGAUGGACUCGCGGCCUAUCAGCUAGUUGGUGAGGUAACGGCUCACCAAGGCGACGACGGGUAGCCGGCCUGAGAGGGUGACCGGCCACACUGGGACUGAGACACGGCCCAGACUCCUACGGGAGGCAGCAGUGGGGAAUAUUGCACAAUGGGCGCAAGCCUGAUGCAGCAACGCCGCGUGAGGGAUGACGGCCUUCGGGUUGUAAACCUCUUUUAGUAGGGAAGAAGCGAAAGUGACGGUACCUGCAGAAAAAGCACCGGCUAACUACGUGCCAGCAGCCGCAGUAA
rnacentral:rRNA from 1 species